CAGUCGCCGCGGUAAUACAGAGGGUGCGAGCGUUAAUCGGAUUUACUGGGCGUAAAGCGUGCGUAGGCGGCUAAUUGAGUCGGAUGUGAAAUCCCCGAGCUUAACUUGGGAAUUGCAUUCGAUACUGGUUAGCUAGAGUGUGGGAGAGGAUGGUAGAAUUCCAGGUGUAGCGGUGAAAUGCGUAGAGAUCUGGAGGAAUACCGAUGGCGAAGGCGGCCCCCUGGACAAAGACUGACGCUCAGGUGCGAAAGCGUGGGGAGCAAACAGGAUUAGAUACCCCUGUAGUCCCUGUCUCUUAUAC
rnacentral:rRNA from 1 species